GUUAUAUGGUCAAGCGAAUAAGCGCACACGGUGGAUGCCUUGGCGGUCAGAGGCGAUGAAGGACGUGGCAGCCUGCGAAAAGUGUGGGGGAGCUGGCAACAAGCAUUGAUCCCGCAAUGUCCGAAUGGGGAAACCCACUGCUUCGGCAGUAUCCUGCAGUGAAUACAUAGCUGCUGGAGGCAAACCCGGUGAACUGAAAUAUCUAAGUAACCGGAGGAAAAGAAAUCAACCGAGAUUCCCUGAGUAGUGACGAGCGAACGGGGAACAGCCCUUAAGCUGAUAUGGUUUUAGAAGAACAGUCUGGAAAGACUGGCCAUAGAAGGUGACAGCCCUGUAUUUGAAAGGGCCAUAUCAGUGAAGACGAGUAGGGCGGGGCACGAGAAACCCUGUCUGAACAUGGGGGGACCAUCCUCCAAGGCUAAAUACUCCUGACCGACCGAUAGUGAACCAGUACCGUGAGGGAAAGG
rnacentral:rRNA from 1 species